CCUCCCUCCCAUGCCCGCAUCCUCCGGCAGAGAGCAGCCUGGUGCCCUGGACGCACCCCUUAUAAAGCGCAGUCCCUUAGUCAUUACCACCUUGUCUCUGAGACGGAGGCUCCUACCUGGCAUCCCGGGCCUGGGCUGUGGCGGGAAGCCCCUUGCUCUGGACACGGCCAGCAGUCAUCAGCACAGGUGGCCUGCUCGGCCCACGGGCCUGAACUUGGGGCAGGGCCACACCUGGCUGCGAGGGAAGCUGGACUUUGGGGUCUUUAGUCAGCUGGCCACAGGCUCAGCUUGAAAUGCCAGUGGUGGGGGUGCCAGUCCUAAGGAAAAAGAAAAAUCAAAGAUGGGUGGGGACACACCCUGCCCUUUCCUGAGGGAACCCCCACAAGUGACAGAGCUGGCUCAGGACACGAGUGUCCCAGAGGGCAAGGCAACGGAGCUCCUUGGGUCCAUGUGACCAUCCCAUGUGGCUGGCGUGCCCCCUCCUCCUGCUGAGUUGGGCUGGGGAACGUGGGUCACUCGUGGCCAUGCCCCGAAGGUGAGCGCUCUUGUGGGUUGUGGAUCACCUAAGCUCCUGACAUGUCCUGGCGGGAGACAAAGCCCACCUUCCACGCUGCAGACCCGGAAGCACCCAUCACUCUCCAGACAUCUCUGUAGCUCGGAGGCAGGCAGCAGACAAGCCCGGCGGAUCAGACGCGCCGGCCCACGCCACCAGGACGGAGGACAUGGAGCCCCCUGUGGGAUCUGGGCCAGGGGGUGGGGGCUGUGGCGUGGCAUCUGCCCCAUUCCCGGUGUGAGCAGCGGCGGCUCAGCCGCCGGCCUCAGCCUGGUUCUCCGGCUUCAGGACCACUGGAGUCUGGCCUUCCCGGCAGUUUCCUUUUUGCCGAAGGAGCCACAGACCGAGUCUCCUGCAGCAAGAAGCGCUGAGUGGGGACAUUUCCUCCACGGCCACCUAGGGACGGCUGUAUUCUCAGUCCCUUCCCCCAUUCUCUGUCACAGCUGAGUGCACGCUGGAUUCCAGGAGGAACAUGCUCUGCCUGGAGCUCAAGCUGCGGGAUGAGGAACCAGCUGUCCUCCAUAUGGUCUGACGAGUGCUGGAAAGACUCUGGCCCCUGAAUAGCUCUUUCUGGGCUUUGUCGCCCUGGCUUAAAGUACUGUCAGUCACACUUCACCCCUCAGGAGGCCGGCCGGCCAACCUGCCUACUCCUGGACUCAGAGACACAGGCCACGGGCCAGAUUCUUCUUCAUCUGCCAGGUUAGUGAGGGUCAGCAGCAGGAAAUCGCAUGGGCCUCAGCCGGCUCCUGAGCGGAAAUCGGCACAGCCUCUGGGCAUGGCAGCUUGCCAGCUGGCACACAGACUCUUGCAUCCCGCAGACACCGUCCCUAGACACCAGCCACCAGUCCAGGCCCUGAAUUACAAACGCCUGGACACCAGACCUUCCCUUCUGGUGGGAGGGGUCAAACAAGAAGCAAACGAGCGCACUCUGUACAUGCGGAAUAUUACCCAGCCCUGGGGAGGAAGGACAUUCUGACACAUGCUACAAGGAUGAACCUAAGGACAUCACGCUCUGCGAAAGAAACCAGUCACAGAAGGGCAAAUACGUGAAAACCAGAAUAAAACAGGAAGAGAGUUGGAGAGAGCAGGGAGGCAAAGCGGCCACAUCCCCUGAGCCUGGGAGGGCUGGUGCCCACUGAAAGGUGACAGUGGAGGCUGGAGAGCUGUGGGGGCUGCCCUCCAGGCCGAGGGCCCUGGGGCAGGAGCGUGCCGCCCGAGGGCCCGGCAGCAGCAGGGCCACCCUCAGAGCUGGGGCAGAGCCGCCCUGUGCUGAGGCCCCCCGCAGUCCUGGCGCGGCGCUCGGCUCCCGGAGGAGCCCUUCUGCCUGGCCGCGGGCUGCCUGGCCAGAGCAGCAUCCUCCCAGAGGCCAGCUCGUUGGUUUGCAAGCUCCGUGUGGCAAUUCCCGCCCACAGACGCGUGUGUGCGAGCGCUCUGGACGGGGUGAGCCCAUGGUUUCCACAGGUCUUGGCGACCAUGUCGGGGUGCCGCUCUGACAGCAGAGGCCACGAAGUCCUGAGAACAGAGGAGCUGCCCAGGCCGGCAGGACUCGUCAGAGUGGCGCCGCCCAUUCCUCUGAACCCUUUGCCAGCACAGCCAGGGGCGGGGCAGGGACAGCGAGGCCGGGCCUGCUGCCUGGGCAGGGGUGAGGCACACAGACCGGCAGCCGGGCUUCAAGGGAGGCGGUGCUCACGACAACAGGGACAGGUUGUGUGCAGAGGUGGCUCUGCCCCAGCCUGGUUCCCACUGGGGGCCCUGAAAGCUGGCCUUCAAACGGGGGGCAGGCUCUGGCUGCCCGGUGUGUCCGCCCGGGGCUGGCCAGGCUGGGGGGGGCGCCCGCGUGUGCUGUGCCAGGGGAUCACUUGCCCCGGCGGGGUGUGGUGGGCAGGGCGUCUGCAGGCUGGCCGCCCCGGAAUUUCUGUAAAUGUAUCCUAACAGAUUCAUGCCGACUGUUUUUGCCGUACUGACGCACAUCAAAAGUUGCAUCUGUUUUGAGCGCGUAUUUGCUUCACUCAAAGUUUACAAGUUCAAAGAGAGGCGAGGACCAAUGAAGUCUGUGUGCAGAGCCUGAGAAACUGUCAAGGGCCACGGAGGAGACAGGAGGGGACCGGGGGACACGGCGGAUGGGGGUGGGGGAUGGGAGAGCACAGAGGAAGCGCCGUGCAGCGGGUCAGAGCCUCUCCGGCACAGUGCCAGGAGGUGCCAGGACGGCCGGCCAGGCGCUACCUAAACCUCGCCAGGUUCCAGAGAUGGGAUUUGCUUGAUGGACAAAGUCCUAGAAGAGCACGCGGGGCCGGAAGCGCUGCUGUGGCCACAAGAGCCUGCCACGCCCAGAACACAAACAUUCCCACACACACAAUCAGGAUCGCAGGGGUUUGAGAACGCUCAAGGGGAAGCAGAAGACCAUGAAACCACCUCUCAAAUUCUAAGUAAAAGUGAUUUCCAAGUCC